CUGAAAUCACACCCUCCCACUUCAGACUCCCACUGAAUCACACCAACAACUGCGACAUAGCACUAGAAUGAUAUCACAUAUAGGUGUUUUUUUUGUUUGUUUGUUUUUUUCACAUUUCUUGUUAAACUAGUGGAGGGACGUGGGGAAACAGAAAUGGGAAAACACCACAUCCUUUGACCUUGACUGCUCCAUGGCCUUCAGUUUGCACUCUUGCUGCCCACUGCUGUAUCUUCAGCAUUGAGGAUCAGAUAACUGCAGGCACUAAAAUCAAGUCUAGGGCUCUCAGCUGGGAUUGCAGGGCUGAAAAACUGUACUCAAGUGAAUACUUCACCUACAAGCCACAACUAAUGAACUCAACAUUUGCAAUGAGAAGACAGACUGUUAUUGAAGUUGGCUGCAAGGCGGGGCCACAGAAACACACAUGGCUGGUGGCUAAUGAUCAGCGUGGCAGCUUUCCAUCAUUCAGCAGCCGGUGAGAGAGUAUAAAAGGGCCUACCUCCUCUAACAAAGCGGGAGACAGUCUCCGAAAUCAUGGACAAUCCAAAACACCCACCCAGAC
ensembl:lncRNA